AGCUCUUGCUCUUGCUCCUUCGCCUGCUUGCCGUGUGAGACUGAGUAACUGCUAGAUCCUUGGAUUUCCAUUCACAGCUGCGACUGAACAAUUGUAAGGAAUUGGGCUGCCGACUCCCCAGCAAGCAGCCCACUGACUGACACAACAAAAGUGGCUAAUAUUGUUCCCUUCUGAAACCUCUUGAGCUGGCUCUCUCCAUAGGCCAAAUCCCGGUUCCCUUGCUGGCAAGGUGAGGGGCUUGAAACUUGUUAACUCUUCAUGAACCAGAAAGAAAAGAAAAGAAAAGAAAAGAAGAGAAGAGAAGAGAAGAGAAGAGAAGAGAAGAGAAGAGAAGAGAAAAGAAUCAGUUACACAGACAAUGCUCACAGACACACAGUCACACACCACACCGCACGAGCGCACGCACACACACACACACACACACACACACACACACUGGUUGGCCCCAAUCACAUGUCUCAUCAACUCCACAAGUGUGUAUAUACUUACAUUCAUACACAAAUACCUACAUAUAGACAAACAAACAUAUCCAUAUAUACACUUGGUAGAUGGGGCAAAGCCUCCCCAAGCCACCACUUAUUCCUUUUCUCUGGCCCUCUUAUACCCUGUUAGGCAAAAGGUUUUUUUAGAAAAUCACCUCGUAGAUUAAAAAGUUACACCAA
rnacentral:lncRNA from 1 species